rnacentral:RNase_P_RNA from 1 species
CAGGCAGAUGAAGCAUAGCCGUUAUAAUAUUAUAGCGGAGGAAAGUCCGGACUGCAUUGGGACGCAUAGCGGCUAACGGCCGUGCGGAGCAAUCCGACGAUUAGAGCUACAGAGACGAGCUGAUUAAAUUCAGAGUGAAACGAGCAAUCUCUAUGUGCAGCAACCCCAUAAAGGUUUUCCGCCCAGUCCCAGGGCUAUGGAUAACGGGUAGGGGGCUUGACAUUUUGUGGCAACACAUUAUGCAGACUAAUUAUGCUUGCUACCAUAAAUAAUGUUCGUGUAUGUCCGACACAACAACAUAAAAAUGGCAGUACAGAAUCCGGCUUAUAUAUCUGACCUGGGGG